GUCAAAUCCUUAUCACCAGCUAUGGCCGUCAAAACACCCCUGCCCUCUCCAUCUCGGCUCCUGGGCAUCAGCCCCCACGCCAGAAGCUAGGGCACCGUCCCCUUGAUGUUUCCCAUGGUGCCUCUCCUGUAUUUCUCUGGCCGUCAGCUACGGCGCUCGUCGUAGGCGCUGCCUGCCGUGCCCCUGUCCAGUUCUCCACGUCGUCACUGAGCUCGCCCCUGCCCAAGUCCGGUCGCCUCUGUUCCCUCCUCUCUGUGCGUCUGGUGGCAAGUCACCGUCGACCCUGCCAUGGUGCUGGUUGCCGCAGCACCUGCGUCCUUGCUUCGCCAGUCCGCCUAGGUCCGACCAUGGAGCUCGCCCAACUCCCUAGUCACCUCUGCUCGCCACUCUCUAUCUCAGUUUGAGCAGCAGCACGCUAGGGCAGACCUAUGUUCGCGACGCUCGCCAAGUGCUCGAUGAAAUACCGUAGCGAGCUCCACCUCGAUCUGCGCAGCCCCAACUCGCGACGUCACAAUACCCUUGCCCUCCAUCGAUGUUGCGCCUCGCGCAUCGCAUGCUCGACAAAAAUCCCAAGCCCGUGGACAGCACACACGCGACCCGAGUUUGAUUCUGCCAGGUUGUUUAAUGUGAUUUUCUAUCCAUGCGAUUUGUCGAUGUUGUGUAUAUGUGUGGUUGAACGGAGUACGCGAAGGAUGAAUUAGUAGAAUCUGUCGGUGUCACUUGUAAAUUUGAAAUACAAGCGAGUACAUAUGCGUGUUACAUGUGUGUUUAUAAUUCUAGUGCUCCAAAUAAUUUGAAUGUAAUUAGUAAAUCAAAUGUUGGUUCUCAUUUGGUUGUUUGAACUCUAAUGAAUUAUAAAAUGAUGAAGUAUUUCUAA